AACCAUAGAAACCUGCGGAGUACCUGCGGCAGGAUCAUUACAGAGUUGCAAAACUCCCUAAACCAUUGUGAACGUUACCUAAACCGUUGCUUCGGCGGGCGGCCCGGGUCCUUCCCGGCGCCCAUCGGCCCUCGCGGGCGCCCGCCGGAGGUAAACCAAACUAUUGCAUUGUAUGGCCUCUCUGAGUCUUCUGUACUGAAUAAGUCAAAACUUUUAACAAUGGAUCUCAGAUCGGAAGAG
rnacentral:misc_RNA from 1 species